CCUCAUGCCUACAGCAUGGCUUCGGCAAUGCCGGGCUUCAUAUCUGGUUAUUCUUUCAUAUGAGCAAAUAAACCUCAUAAGCCAGUAGGAGAACUUCCCUUUUAUCUGACUGACACCAUCUUUAAACCAAUUACCGGCAGGAUGAACAGGAUGAAGAUGAUUGAUGUAGAACCGACAUUGGAAGACUUUUCCUUAAAGGGCCAGAUGGUAAAUAUUUUAGGCUUUGCUGGUCAUGAGGCAAAAUUGAGGACAUUACGUGGGUGAUUAUAUAACCAUUUAAAAUAUAAACAUUUUAAAAUUUAAAAACCAUUUAAAUUUUCCAGAGAAACAGAAUUUCUCUGUUUUCCAGGGUUUUCCAGAGAAACAGAAUCACUGGGAAGGUGCAUGUGUGUGUGUAUCUCUCUCCCUCUCUCUCUCUCUCUCUGUAUCUAUGUAUCUAUCUAUACAGAGAUUUAUCUUAAGGAAUUAGCUCAUAUAUUUAUGGAGGCUGGCAAGUCCAAAAUCUGCAGGGUGGGCCAGCAGCCUAGCAACCCAGAAAAGAGCUGAUGUUGCAGUUCAGAGCCAAAGGCUAUCUGCUGGCGUAAUUCCUUCAUGCUCAGGGGAAGUCAGUUUUUUUAUUUUUUUCAGGUCUUCAACUGACUGGAUGACACCCACUCACAUUAUGGAGGGCAAUCAGUUGUAUUCAAAGUCUACCAAUUUAAAUAGAAAUCCCAUAUAAAAACACCCUCAUAGAAACAUGUGCAAUAAUAUCUGGGCCCUGUGGCCUAGCCAAACUGAUACAUCAAUUAGCCAUCACACAUGCUUGGUUCCAGGCUAGGGAAAAAUGGAUAGCAGGGUGGAUUUGGUCUUGGCUACCCUUUGCCAAACUGUGGCUUCAGCUGACACCUGAGAUGGGAGUAGGAUCAUUUUUCUUAAGAGUGGGAAUCUGAACAAAACAGCAGUCAGUUAACAAAGAACAAAGAUGAUGGGUAAACAACCAAUCCUGCUAUGCUGGUCCUACCUAUUGAGCCUAGGUUUUGAUAGAAUAAGAAAGAAAUGCAUUGAGAAACUUGAAAACAUUGCAUUAGAAGAAUCUCUGAAGCACCGUGGCAAACUCAAGAGUAAAGAAUGUGGUUUGGAAACCAUUGCAUUGAGAGCAUUUCCAGAGAUUUCAGAUCGCCAGCAACAGCAGCAGCAUUUUGGGAGUGAAGUCACCAAAGUUGGUGAGUCAGGAGUGUGUGUGCCUCCUUAAGAGCCAUAAACGCUCUAGAGGGGGCGUGUCAUCUCUUUUGGCUUGUUAGAACAACUUUUCAGCCCCAAGUUUUGUUAAAGCGGAAUUUCUCUAGUUGGUUCCAUGCAAAUGGAGGAUGCUAGAGACAGGAGCCUGGAAGCCCUUCCUGAUUCUAGAGCUUUCUUUGGAUCUCACUUUCUCCUCCAUGGGGGCAGUGUGGUAGUCAUCAGCCACAUGGGGCUGCUUACAUUUAAAUCCUUAUCCUCAACUAAACUUACAUAAAAUUAAAAACUAAUUUCUGCAGCCUCACCAGCCACAUUUCAAGUAUAUCAUAUUGGAUAGGACACAUUUGGACUUUCUUGCAAUCACAGAAAGCUUUAUGGGAAAAUACUGCUCUAGAAUGUGAGCAACUCAUCAGUCUGAUGGCCAUUUUGAGGUUGGUCUUGAAAAUAGCUUAUAAAUCUGCAUCGGAUCAUCUUUCUAGUCAAAGCAAGUAUCCGCCUCAUUUUGCUGAAACCCAUUUAAAUGAAAGAUGAAGGGAAAACACCUGGCAACAUCCUCUGAUCCCUCUGACAGUCCUCUUUCCUAAUGGCCCAUGACAGAGUUAGAGGGGGAGUACAUUGAGGCUUAGAUUCGGGAAUUCCCAUGAAAGACCAUAAAGGGCAAACAGAGUGAUUCAGAGAGAGAACUCUGGAGUCAGGCUACAGGUUCUGAAUCCACACAACCGCUUACAGGCUAUGCCAUCUCGAGGAAGUUAGCCUCUCUGUGACUCAGUUUCUUCUUUUAGGAUAAUGCCAGUACAUACCUCAUUAGAUUAUUGUGAAAUUAAAUGAGAUAUUGCUCAGUGCCUAACUCCUAGUGAGCAUUUGAUAGGUGUUGGUUACUUUUAUUACUAUCACCACCUGCCCAAACUAGAAAUUCCAUUAUGGAAGUCAUUCUUUGAAUAAUAAUAAUAUGUUUGAAACUUCAAACACAUGAAACACAAGGAAACUGAUUCUAAAAAAUCGUCCAGAGAAGAGAGUAGUAGUCAAAAUGUGACCUGUGAGAAGGGUGUCUGGAUAGAGCUAGGAAACCAGCAAACGUCACAAAUUCUCCAUUCUAGAGUUUCCUUGAUCCCUCUCUUUAAAAGCUAGAGGUAGUCUUCAACUAAUACUUGAAAGAAGAGAGUUUUCUGAGCUCUUGCCUAGUUGGGAAAGUCUAUAAUUGUCAUAUGAAUGACAACUUGGCUGAGCUUUAAAUUCAUGGGCCCCAGAUCACUUGUUUUAUUAUUAUUAUUAUUAUUAUUAUUAUUAUUAUUAUUAUUAUUUUUACUUGUUUUAAAUCUGGAUAAACUUGGUACCAUGGUUUUCUGAUAUUCAGUAUUUGAAAGCAAUCUGGCCUAAUUUUUAGUUUAUCAUUGCCGAUGGGUUUUGAGUUCCCUCAGUGAUAAACUUGGAGGCAAGGAUUCAAAUGCGAGUUCAUUUGACAGGUGAAGGAGGGAGGGUGGAGAUGCAAGACAGACAAAGGGCAUGUCUUAGAGUGGGUUAGCAAGACAGAUACCACUGUAUACACUGGGAGCUUAAUUGUGCUGCAUUAAUUGUGGAAGUCAGUGAAAAACACAUUUCCCAAAGUUACCCUCUCAGAGAAGUGAGGAACCUGGGGUACUUAGUCACCAAAUCCUGUCUCUUACUGCUUGAACACAGCUUUCAGAAGUGACUGAUUCCCCAGACUUGAAGACCUCUGCAAGAGCAGAGAAGGGCAGGGUCAGAAAAAGACUGGAGGAGAAUCCCAGGGGUUGGCAGUUCAGUGGUCAGGCUGCCCAUGCUGAUGUACUAGGGAUGAGAGCAGGUGUGCAGGCACACAAGGUCCACCACGGGGAGCACCCUCGUUCUUCUGUGGGGAUGCUUGAUACUUGAAUGACUGAUUGAUUGUAAUUACACAUUUUUGUCCUGUGUCCUCUUUCACUUUCUUUGGAUCUCACUUUCUCCUAGUUUCACUGUCUCUUAUUCUUCAUCUCUCAUCUCUCUCUUUCUCUGAUGCUCAAUCACUUUUUAAAUUCUUUUUUUUUUGAACUAGAUUAGCCUCUUUAGCAUCAAACUUAGUCCUGAAAAUUUUUCUUUAAUUCUAUCUUUUCUUAUUUCUUUGGCAUUGGUUCAUUUUUUUUCUCUUAUUUUCAUGCAAUAUCUAUAUUCCUAAGUUCUAGCUAUAUGUUUUGCCCAAUAAUCAUAUUAUCUCUCAUCAUUUUUAUCUUUAUGCCUUUUAUUUGCAGUGAAAACAAAUUUUCUGGUUUGUCCUCCUCAUUACUGCUUUUAUUUUUGACAUUGUUGGAUCUGCUCUCUCUUCUCUCUAAAUUGGAUUUUAUUUUGCCAUUGCAAACUUAACUUUCUUCCAAUUCUUCCUCAAGGGUCCAGCUCAAUUGUCAUGUCAGUUUAUUCUAGAUUUCUCCGCUGUUUCAUAGAUACCAUAAUUUUUCCAAUUCUAUCAAAAAUAUUGAAGAGUUUUCUAUUUUUUUUCUUGCCCUUAUAGUAAAUCAUCUUCACAUUUUCCUCUUAGUCUUUAGGAUACUGCCCAUUUCUUUUUCUUUUUAAAAAUAUUUUAUUUAUUUAUUCAUGAGAGACACAGAGAGAGAGAGAGAGACAGAGACAGAGACAGAGAGACAGAGAUGCAGAAACACAGGCAGAGGGAGAAGCAGGCUGCACGCAGGGAGCCUGAUAUGAGACUGGAUCCUGGUACUCCAGGAUCACGCCCUAGGCCGAAGGCAGCACUAAACCGCUGAGCCCCCAGGACAGCCCAAUGUCCAUUUCUUUAAUCUUCCAUAUUUUCUUUCAUAUGUAUGUACGUAUAAUUUUUACUGAAUCUUAAAGAAGGCCACAUCAGCUCAGACUGACCAUUUGCCAAACAAAAAAGCUUGUGGAUUUUGUCCUGAUUCUACUUGUCGUCUACUGCUGACUGAAAUGUAAGUAGGAGGGCAGUUUGAUGUUUAUACCUCUCAGCUCAGGCUCCACUCCUCUCCAUCAAGAGAAGCUUUGAUGGGCCAAAGAGAGACUUUCCUCUACUCUUGUAACCCAGUUCUCUUGCCCUCUGAACCCAUGGAGUAGAGGAAAAUGUAGACUUGCAAGCAUGUGCUAAAACCUAGACUAUUUGUAUUCCCUCCAUUGUCCAUAUUCCUUUACUUGUAGGGGCUAUGCUUUUCAUAAUGCAAUUUGCAUCACAAGUUCUAUGUGCUUUCUUAUAUAAUUUUAAAAAAAUGUUUAUUCUCUGUUUGGGUAUUGAAAUAUGAGGAAUGAUUGGAAUAACUGAGUCAUGUAUAGCGAUUUGAAACCCAAGUUCUACAGCUAGACUGCUUGGCUUCAAAUUCUGAUUUUCCAUUUAUUAGCUGCAAGACCCUGAUAAAGUCACUUCACUUCCCCAGGCCUUUGUUUCCUUGACUUUGAAAUGAGGGUAAGAAUGAAGCAUCUACUCUAAUAGGUUGUUGUGGAUAUUAAUUCCAUUAACAUAUGUGAAAUGCUUGGCAGAGUGCCUGCCACAAAGUUACUAAUCGAUAAAUGUUAGCUCAAAUUAUUAUGUCACAAACACCACCUGUGCAGUGAGAGAAAUAGCCACCAUUGUUUUUGGUUAUGGGUGGGUAGGCAAGAGAGAGAAGGUACUGGGGGAAAAUGAAGGAUUUUCAGAUCUACUUUUGGCUGCUCUAUCCAGUUCAUGAGACCAAUAUGGCAGACACUAAUGGUUUUUCUAUUUCCAGUUCCAUCAGUCUUUAAUUAGUAGAAAUCCAUAAUUAGUAGAAUUAGAAUUCUCACCACAGGUCAUCUGCUGAGUUUUACUUUUGGUUUUGUAGUGAGUUUUCCUUUUAUUGAGUAUUUCAUGUGUAUUUUAGUGGGAUAUUGGGAGAAAUUGCAUUAGGUGACUUGGGAGAUGCCAUUUUAAAUUGGUAUGAUGUAGACAGUUUUUACCUGCUGAUAUUGCAAAUUACUCCUAUCCUGCCUUGGCUCAAACAAUAAAGGAGAGGCAGUAGCAGUCA
rnacentral:lncRNA from 12 species